rnacentral:rRNA from 1 species
UGAGGAAUCUUGCGCAAUGGGGGAAACCCUGACGCAGCAACGCCGUGUGAGUGAUGAAGGCCUUCGGGUCGUAAAGCUCUUUCGGCAGGAACGAUAAUGACGGUACCUGCAGAAGAAGCUGCGGCUAACUACGUGCCAGCAGCCGCGGUAAUACGUAGGCAGCAAGCGUUGUUCGGAGUUACUGGGCGUAAAGAGUGCGUAGGCGGUCCUCUAAGUUCGGUGUGAAAUCUCCCGGCUCAACUGGGAGGGUGCGCCGGAAACUGGGGGGCUUGAGUAUGGGAGAGGAAAGCGGAAUUCCUGGUGUAGCGGUGAAAUGCGUAGAUAUCAGGAGGAACACCUGUGGUGUAGACGGCUUUCUGGACCAUGACUGACGCUGAGGCACGAAAGCGUGGGGAGCAAACA